rnacentral:lncRNA from 1 species
UAUCCAGCAAGUAGUUCUGUUGUUGAGUAAUCCAUUCCAAGACAGUCAUUUUGUGGGGAUCUGGCACAGCAGGUGGGUCAAUGCUACUGUGACGAUGCGGAAACGGAUAGGGUAGGUAAUCUUGGAUAUCUGGGAUGGAAGAAAAACUUGAUGUAGGUGGCUCAGUGGCGGAGGGGACGAGACUCUCGACUUGAGCCUCGUCCUCGUCGAUAUCCGGCUUCGCUGAUGUCUCUGUGGCGUGGGUGUUUAAUGGAGAUUCGCCAGAACACGCAUCCAGAACAGGGGCACUGUCUGAUUCCCCUCCGGAUAUACUUGCAAAUUCAUUGCAUCAUCCGGAAAUGGUUCAGAACGAGGUUGAGAGUUUCGAACUGGUUCCUCCUCUGCUGUCUUGGGCUCUGAUGUAGGUAUAGACUUAGCUGCUUUUAGAGGGUCCUGGUGGUGAUCCUUAUCCGCCAACCUGCUUAUUUGCACAUGAGUGAUAGGGUCUUCAUGAUGAGACUCGUCCUCAUCAGCCACCCCAGUGGGAGAAUGUUGAGAAUCUUGGA